rnacentral:misc_RNA from 1 species
AAGGAUCAUUAAUGAAUUCACUCUUGAAGUUGUUGCUGGUCUCUCGGGACAUGUGCACGCUUCAUAAGUACAUUCAACCACCUGUGCACUUUUGAUAGAUUCGCAGAGUCGCUCCCUCAAGUCAGUCAAUGACUUGGUAGGUUGGGAUUGUCGCAGUCCUGGCUUCGACUUUGUGGGUCUAUUAUUAUCUUACACACCCCAAAUGUAUGUCCAUGAAUGUUAUUACUUGGGCCAUGUGCCUAUAAAAACCUAAUACA